rnacentral:rRNA from 1 species
GGGGAAUAUUGGACAAUGGACCAAAAGUCUGAUCCAGCAAUUCUGUGUGCACGAUGACGUUUUUCGGAAUGUAAAGUGCUUUCAGUUGGGAAGAAAAAAAUGACGGUACCAACAGAAGAAGUGACGGCUAAAUACGUGCCAGCAGCCGCGGUAAUACGUAUGUCACAAGCGUUAUCCGGAUUUAUUGGGCGUAAAGCGCGUCUAGGUGGUUAUGUAAGUCUGAUGUGAAAAUGCAGGGCUCAAUUCUGUAUUGCGUUGGAAACUGCAUGACUAGAGUACUGGAGAGGUAAGCGGAACUACAAGUGUAGAGGUGAAAUUCGUAGAUAUUUGUAGGAAUGCCGAUGGGGAAGCCAGCUUACUGGACAGAUACUGACGCUAAAGCGCGAAAGCGUGGGUAGCAAACAGGAUUAGAUACCCUGGUAGUCCACGCCGUAAACGAUGAUUACUAGGUGUUGGGGGUCGAACCUCAGCGCCCAAGCUAACGCGAUAAGUAAUCCGCCUGGGGAGUACGUACGCAAGUAUG